CAGAAGUCAUGUCUGCUGUGUGUCUUGGGAUGGAGCUGCCGGGGACAUGGCCCCUCCCACCACAAGUGGCCAAGGGCAUGUUGUGGUCGGGAAGCUUCACCGGUCAACCCCGGCCACCUCACCUCUGCCUGCCACUCGGGGUCCUGGGCCCUGCUGCCCCCCUGAAUGCAGCUGCAGCGCCUCUUUUGCCUAAAGCAGCAGGCCCUGCCGACAGGGACCUGAGCAUCUUUUUCUUCCUUCCUUGGCCUCUGAGGUCCUAAGAGGGAACUCUCCCUCUUAGGACCACAACUCUCCCACCACAGUCAGCGGUCACAGGGGGGUCUCUGGGCCCACGACAGGGCCGGCCUGGUGGCUGAGACCCUGGUGGCUCCUGGCCACGCUCAGGAAGGCCCGUGUGGUCAGGGCUGCAUUUGAGCUAGCUCCGCACUGGGGGUCUGCCGAGGGCUGGGUGCUGAUGUGCCCCCCGCGCCCCCCGUCGAUGUCUCUUGCCAGGCGCGACUCUUCGAUGAACCACAGCUGGCCAGCCUGUGCCUGGAGAACAUCGACAAAAACACGGCAGACGCCAUCACCGCUGAGGGCUUCACCGACAUUGACCUGGACACGCUGGUGGCUGUCCUGGAGCGCGACACACUGGGCAUCCGUGAGGUGCGGCUGUUCAAUGCCGUUGUCCGCUGGUCCGAGGCCGAGUGUCAGCGGCAGCAGCUGCAGGUGACGCCAGAGAACAGGCGGAAGGUUCUGGGCAAGGCCCUGGGCCUCAUUCGCUUCCCACUCAUGACCAUCGAGGAGUUCGCUGCAGGCCCCGCACAGUCGGGCAUCCUGGUGGACCGCGAGGUGGUCAGCCUCUUCCUGCACUUCACCGUCAACCCCAAGCCACGAGUGGAGUUCAUUGACCGGCCCCGCUGCUGCCUGCGUGGGAAGGAGUGCAGCAUCAACCGCUUCCAGCAGGUGGAGAGUCGCUGGGGCUACAGCGGGACCAGUGACCGCAUUAGGUUCUCAGUCAACAAGCGCAUCUUCGUGGUGGGAUUUGGGCUGUAUGGAUCCAUCCACGGGCCCACCGACUACCAAGUGAACAUCCAGAUUAUCCACACCGAUAGCAACACCGUCCUGGGCCAGAAUGACACGGGCUUCAGCUGCGACGGCUCAGCCAGCACCUUCCGCGUCAUGUUCAAAGAGCCGGUGGAGGUGCUGCCCAACGUCAACUACACGGCCUGCGCCACGCUCAAGGGCCCAGACUCCCACUACGGCACCAAAGGCCUGCGCAAGGUGACACACGAGUCACCCACCACGGGCGCCAAGACCUGCUUCACCUUUUGCUACGCGGCUGGGAACAACAAUGGCACAUCCGUGGAGGACGGCCAGAUCCCCGAGGUCAUUUUCUAUACCUAGGCUGCCUGACACCGACACCGCCCUCCCUCUGUGGGGAAGGCUGGGGCCCCGAGGUCAUAUUCUACACCUGGGUCACCCGACACCGCCCUCCCUCCGUGGGGACAGCCGCAGCCCCAGGCCAUCAUCCGCUGCUGGGGCCCCCCCCCGGCCACGCGGUGCCAGGCCCAGUGUCCCCCCCGGGCCAUCUGUCCACUCCACGCCACCUUUGUCAGCAUCAGGAAGGGGUUGCCCUGUGUUCACGAGCGCGGCUGCUGGAUCAGGGCAGCCGGGGAGGUGGCCGGGCCAGUGGCCAGGCCCUGUGGAGACAAUCCCUCAGGACUGGGGACAGGGCUGUGCCGGCCUGGGCCAGGGCCCACGGACCCGCAGCUCAGGGCACCUGCCACGUCAUCUGACGGCGGUGUGCGUUCCCCGCGUCUCUUCACUGCACAUUGCAAUGCAUUUGCGAUUCCCACAUCUCUGCUAGGAGCCAGCCUGGGUGGCGCCGCUCCCAGAGCCGUGGUUACCAGACCUUGCGUUCCUUUUGUUCCUGUCCAUUUAUCGGGACACGGGCCCCACCUGUCACGUGCCCGAGGCCACCCAAGCCCAGCCUGCGGGGCGUUCCCACUGCCUGGGUGCCGGCUUGAGUUCUGCGUGUGUGGGAUUCAGUGUGGGGACGGCCCCUGCCGGAUAGGCCUUGCCCUGGCCCAGGUGGUGAGCGGUUUGCAGUGUCUGUUCUCAUCCACCUGAUGGGCCCAGAUAAGGGCCCCCACUGUCCAGCCUCCCUGGACGGCCCCCGCGGUCCCUGCAGCCCAAGAUGGGACUCAGACCCUGCGCCCCAGAGCUCCCCUGCCGCAGAAUGGGGCCCCAGCCGGCCCCGACCGGGUCCAGGAGCAGUGCUUGCCUGUACAUACUGUUGCCCUAGCCCGCCUGGUGCCGCGGGAGCCACCCCCAGGUGCUGGGGGGCAUAGCCCCUCCCCACCCCGGCCACGCCCCCACCUGCCCUGCGUGUUUCUGCCUUGUGACUCCUGGAAACUGCGUCCUCCCCAAAGCCAUGGGAGGGGUGUCCUCCUCAGACCACGCCCCUAGAUGAUUUUUUUUAAAUAAACAAACAAACGCACCUGCCCUGAGCGCA
rnacentral:sRNA from 1 species